rnacentral:tRNA from 1 species
GAGGGUAUAGCUCAGUGGUGGAGUGCGUGCUUAGCAUGCACGAGGUCCUGGGUUCAAUCCCCAGUACCUCCC